AGGGUUUGAUCCUGGCUCAGAUUGAACGCUGGCGGCAUGCCUAACACAUGCAAGUCGAACGGUAACGACGGGAGCUUGCUCCCGGGCGACGAGUGGCGGACGGGUGAGUAAUACUUAGGAAUCUGCCCAGUAGUGGGGGACAACUCGAGGAAACUCGAGCUAAUACCGCAUACGCCCUACGGGGGAAAGCGGAGGAUCUUUCGGGACUUCGCGCUAUUGGAUGAGCCUAAGUCGGAUUAGCUUGUUGGUGGGGUAAAGGCCUACCAAGGCGACGAUCUGUAGCUGGUCUGAGAGGACGAUCAGCCACACUGGGACUGAGACACGGCCCAGACUCCUACGGGAGGCAGCAGUGGGGAAUAUUGGACAAUGGGGGCAACCCUGAUCCAGCAAUGCCGCGUGUGUGAAGAAGGCCUGCGGGUUGUAAAGCACUUUCAGUAGAGAAGAAAUGCCCAUGGUUAAUACCCGUGGGUCUUGACGUAACCUACAGAAGAAGCACCGGCUAACUCCGUGCCAGCAGCCGCGGUAAUACGGAGGGUGCGAGCGUUAAUCGGAAUUACUGGGCGUAAAGCGCGCGUAGGCGGUUUGGUCAGUCGGAUGUGAAAGCCCUAGGCUCAACCUGG
rnacentral:rRNA from 1 species